UUACCAAAAGUUAAUGUUUUGAGGAAAUGUUUUUUACCAGCUUGGGCUGUUUGGGAUAAUAACAUUGACUAAGUUCCAUGGUGGGUUAUCACAUAUAUAUGUAUAUAUAUAAUUCACUACUAUUUUGUACUCUACAUU
ensembl:snoRNA